GGAAUCGGGUGAAAGUCCCGGACAGUGCUCGCUGCCGUAACCCCAAUUUGAUAAACUGGGUUUCUUGCCACUGGAAUGGUGAUUCUGGGAAGGUUUGAACGCAUAAGCCAGAGGGGAAGUCGGAAUAC
rnacentral:ncRNA from 1 species